rnacentral:rRNA from 1 species
UACCCGCGGCCCAAGUGGUGGUCGAUAUUAUUGAGCCUAAAACGUCCGUAGCCGGUCUUGUAAAUCCUUGGGUAAAUCGACCAGCUCAACUGUUCGAAGUCCGGGGAGACUGCAAGACUUGGGAUCGGGAGAGGUGAGAGGUACUUCUGGGGUAGGGGUAAAAUCCUGUAAUCCUAGAAGGACCACCGGUGGCGAAGGCGUCUCACUAGAACGAAUCCGACGGUGAGGGACGAAGCCCUGGGGCGCAAACGGGAUUAGAUACCCCGGUAGUCCAGGGUGUAAACGCUGCGGGCUUGGUGUUGGGGGUCCUUUGAGGGCGCCCAGUGCCGGAGAGAAGUUGUUAAGCCUGCUGCUUGGGGAGUACGUCCGCAAGGAUGAAACUUAAAGGAAUUGGCGGGGGAGCACCGCAACGGGAGGAGCGUGCGGUUCAAUUGGAUUCAACGCCGGA